rnacentral:rRNA from 1 species
UACGUAGGGUGCAAGCGUUGUCCGGAAUUAUUGGGCGUAAAGAGCUCGUAGGCGGCUUGUCGCGUCGGCUGUGAAAUCCCGGAGCUCAACUCCGGGUCUGCAGUCGAUACGGGCGGACUUGAGUACUGCAGGGGAGACUGGAAUUCCUGGUGUAGCGGUGAAAUGCGCAGAUAUCAGGAGGAACACCGGUGGCGAAGGCGGGUCUCUGGGCAGUAACUGACGCUGAGGAGCGAAAGCGUGGGGAGCGAACAGG